UACGUAGGGUGCGAGCGUUGUCCGGAAUUAUUGGGCGUAAAGAGCUCGUAGGCGGUCUGUCGCGUCGGUCGUGAAAACUUGGGGCUUAACCCUGAGCUUGCGGUCGAUACGGGCAUGACUGGAGUUCGGCAGGGGAGACUGGAAUUCCUGGUGUAGCGGUGAAAUGCGCAGAUAUCAGGAGGAACACCGGUGGCGAAGGCAGGUCUCUGGGCAUUACCUGACGCUGAGGAGCGAAAGUGUGGGGAGCGAACAGG
rnacentral:rRNA from 1 species